rnacentral:lncRNA from 1 species
GUGCUUCCGGGAUCCGGGGCCGACGGUACAGGAACGGACCGCCUUCGGUGUAACACAAAACGAGCUCCCCCUCGGAGCCUGCGGGCGAGUGGAACUUUGGUUCCUCCGGGGGCUGGUGUCUCAGUGCGGUUGGUUUCUUCUUGGUUGAGGUGUCCCGCUUUCAGGGCGAUCGUUAGAGUAAGCGCUGCAAGUGAAGGAAAAGACCCAACAGCGUGGAAAGGACUUUAAUGACUUAAGCGGAAGAGACAAGAACUGGAAUUAUAAACGGAGUAAAAACCAAGAGAUCACAGGAUAUUUGAUAAGAAAUUGAAAUCGUGUGUGGCUCCAGACAAAAAUCCCAGCACUAAGAAGGAAACAUGGGCAUAAAGUCCCUCCCAUAACCAAGAAGUCUCUGCAAUUGAUACCUGCCGGAAAAGGAAAUUAAUCAGGUUUGGACAGUGGGAUAUUAUUGUGUAUAUCAACCAUGCUCCAGGGCAGGGCCUAUAGCUAGGAGUAAUUGGUCAAUCAAUACAUAUAUUAUUGGGCUUUUGUUGUUGUUUUAGUUUGGUUGUGUCUUUUAAUUUUCUUUUUUUUUUUUUUAAAGAAAGAGAGCAUAAACAUCCAAAAGAAAAACAAAUGAAAAAAGUUUUGUAUUCAGGUGUAAAAAAAAAAAAGAUACUGUUUUCUAUUAUCAGAAGCAAAAACGUUUCAAUGAAUGAUUAAUCUUGUGGAAUAGUUUGAAAUAUUUCUUAUUCAGGAUUGAAUUCCGCACAAAAACAUUUGGCACCAACUUUUUAACAUCAUCAAACUAUGUUAGGAGGUGUUUAGACCAAAAACUCAAUGGCUGUUUCAUAAAGAAGAAAACUUGUUUAUGAAGCUUAAAUGACUUGCUCAAAUUUGCAAAAUUGUUUAGUGCCAAAAAUCCAAACCAGCACAAAAUUUCAUAAAGAGGAAGAAGGAGAGGGGGUCAUGGAGGGCGGCUGGAGGAUGGGAGAUCAGCAAUCAGCAGUUAUAUUUUUAAGAGCAUACACUGGGUCAUAUGAUGGGUUUAGAUUCAUUAGAUAAAGACUCCAAGAUUCCUAGAUGUCAUCUAACUUCACCAGGAUUAUUUAAGUCAUGCUGUUUUGUUUGUUUGUUUGUUUUGCUUUGCUUGUUUUGUUUGUUGUUGUUGUUUUGUUUUGAUGUUAUGAUAUUUUCCUUGGGGAAAUAGGAACAGAUGCCUAUUCUUCCUGGACAGAAAGACCAAAGAAACACUUCCACAGGAAUCCCCCUUGGUCUCUUAGGAAAGAAAACAGCCAAAGGAACCUGAUAUUUCCCUCAAGUGUACUAACUAAGAAAAUGUCUCAGAUGGAAUGAAACUGACAAUGGGAACUGAAGAGGAGCACAUGUGAGGUCCAGCACUGCCACAGAGAGGAAACUAACUACUGACCAAGGAUUGCCUCUCCUAUGUCAGAGGGUGUGUGCGCGUGCGAG